GUAACAUUUCUAGCUUGCUAGAAGAUGACGAGUGGCGGACGGGUGAGUAAUGCUUGGGAACUUGCCUUUGCGAGGGGGAUAACAGUUGGAAACGACUGCUAAUACCGCAUAAUGUCUACGGACCAAACGGGGCUUCGGCUCCGGCGCAAAGAGAGGCCCAAGUGAGAUUAGCUAGUUGGUAAGGUAACGGCUUACCAAGGCGACGAUCUCUAGCUGUUCUGAGAGGAAGAUCAGCCACACUGGGACUGAGACACGGCCCAGACUCCUACGGGAGGCAGCAGUGGGGAAUAUUGCACAAUGGGGGAAACCCUGAUGCAGCCAUGCCGCGUGUGUGAAGAAGGCCUUCGGGUUGUAAAGCACUUUCAGUUGUGAGGAAAAGUUAGUAGUUAAUACCUGCUAGCCGUGACGUUAACAACAGAAGAAGCACCGGCUAACUCCGUGCCAGCAGCCGCGGUAAUACGGAGGGUGCGAGCGUUAAUCGGAAUUACUGGGCGUAAAGCGCACGCAGGCGGUUUGUUAAGCUAGAUGUGAAAGCCCCGGGCUCAACCUGGGAUGGUCAUUUAGAACUGGCAGACUAGAGUCUUGGAGAGGGGAGUGGAAUUCCAGGUGUAGCGGUGAAAUGCGUAGAUAUCUGGAGGAACAUCAGUGGCGAAGGCGACUCCCUGGCCAAAGACUGACGCUCAUGUGCGAAAGUGUGGGUAGCGAACAGGAUUAGAUACCCUGGUAGUCCACACCGUAAACGCUGUCUACUAGCUGUGUG
rnacentral:rRNA from 1 species